UACGAAGGGGGCUAGCGUUGCUCGGAAUCACUGGGCGUAAAGCGCACGUAGGCGGAUUGCUAAGUCAGGGGUGAAAUCCUGGAGCUCAACUCCAGAACUGCCCUUGAUACUGGCGGUCUCGAGUACGGGAGAGGUGAGUGGAACUGCGGGUGUAGAGGUGAAAUUCGUAGAUAUUCGCAAGAACACCAGUGGCGAAGGCGGCUCACUGGCCCGGUACUGACGCUGAGGUGCGAAAGCGUGGGGAGCAAACAGG
rnacentral:rRNA from 1 species